CAAGACCACAGCCCCCCAGAAGUGGUGAUAACCCUGAGGGUAACUUGCACUGGUAGUGGUAUGAAUCUUCUAAGCUGGCUCUCCUGUAGCUUGUAAUUUGGGAAAAAGAGACAUAUUGUCCACAUCAGAAGCUUUUGAUUUCCAAACACCUCCCAGUGUUCACCUACAAAGACCAACAUGCUCUCCUGGAAGAUCACCCUAUUGUCUGGAAUGACUGCUGCUAUCAUAGUUUUGUGGAAAGGGAUCCAGAAUCCCUGGUUGCUAUUAGCAACUGUUUUGGGGGUUUUCAAGGAACGCUACAGAUAAAUUACAUUGAUUAUGAAAUGACACCCAAAAGGCCUUCUGCCACAUCUGAGCAUCUGGUAUAAAAAGCUGGGUAGUCAGGAGACAAAAUUCCCAACCAUGAAACGUGGAUUAACAGAAGAUAUAGUAAGAGAAUUAAAGUUUCAAGAAUGUGAUAAUUCCACUCUGAUGCAAAGUGGCUAUGAGGGCUGGAGGGAGAACCCACGCAUUUUUUCUUGAACUGGCAAUAGUGGUAGACUAUUCAUUAUUUGGAAAGUAAUACCUCCCUUGGGCAGGAGGAAAUAAUAGUUGUUGCCAACAAAUUAAAUGUUGUUUAAUAGUGCCAUAGGACUUAAUGUGAUUUUAACUGUACUUGAGAUCUGGAAUGAAGAAAACCAAGUUACAGCAGGUGACCUAUGUGUUCUUAUAUAACUUUGGCAAAUGGAAAUAAAUAGCUAUAAUUUCUACAUAUCUGAUGAUGGUGUAGAACUUGCAGUAAAGGAUAAAUAUGGUAGAUUAUUAUCCUAUACCAUUAUUGGUUCAACCUGUAAUAUUGGUUUUAAUUAUAGAGUUAUACAGUUCCAAGGUACUGAAUUUAUAUCAUUUGCAUUGCUGUUGGUACACGAGUUAGGUCAUAGGUUUGGUAUGCAGAAUGAUGGUAAAGAUUGUUCUUGUGGUCAUGAAACAUGCACGAUGUCUUCAAGAAUAUAAAGGGCAACAAGGUGAAACAUCGUCUCCACAAAAAAUAAAAAAUUAUCCAGAUGUGGUGGUCCCAGCAACUCAGGAGGCUGAGAUGGGCAGAUCCAUUGAGCCACUGAGCCAGGAAAAUUGAGGCUGGCAAUGAGCUGUGAUUGUGCCACUGUAUUCCAGCCUGAGACAGAGUGAGAGCCUGUCUUAAAAAAAAAAUAUAUAUAUAUAUCAAAGACAAGUCAUCUAUUCAGACACAGAAAUUAUUCUAUAUUGGUCAGCCUUUUAUCUAAGCACUAUUUGUAUACUGAAAUCCAGAGAACAUCAUUGCAGAGAAGUGCUGUGGCAAUGGUGUGGUUGAAGAAGGAGAGAAGUGUGACUGUGGAUCCUUACGAUUGUGUGCAAAAUAUCCAUGUUGUUUGGCAAACUACACUCUGAAAUCUGGGGCUGCUUGUGCUUUUGGGCUUUGAUGCAAAGCCUGCUAAUUCAUGCUGUCAGGCAAUAUGUGCAGAGAAGAGAACAAUGAAUGCGUUAUCUCAUAGUGUUUCAAUAGAAAUUCACAUAUUGUCCAGCAGAUAUGAAUGUGCACAACAGGAUCCAUUGCAUGGGCAGUGUCUAUUGCUAUGAAAAGGGAUGUAUUAACUACGAACAGUGUAGGCAAAUUUUUGGCAAAGAAGCAAACAGUGCAAAUCAGAGUUGCUACAGAGAAAUUAAUACCUGUGGUUACCAUUUUGGUCACUGUGGUAUCUGAGGCUGGACAUGUAAGAUAUAAUAUCUCAGAUAUCUUUUGUGGGAGAGUUCAAUGUGAGAAUGUGAAAGAAAUUACCCAUUUGAGAGAUCACACUACUGAGCACUGAACUCACAUCAGUGGUGUUACCAGCUACAGUACUGACUUUCAUUUGGGGAUGACAAUAACUGAUAUUGGUGUAGUGAAAAAUAGCACAGAGUAUGGUCCAAAACAAGCGUACAUUGACAGGAAGUGUGUUCAUUAUCAUUUUGGAAAAGUACUUCUUCUUCUAAGACCCGCAAUAUGAGAGGAAUCUGCAACCAUAAACAUUAGUGCCACUGCAACCAAAGGUGGAAAAUACUUAUUGCCUGAUACAGGGCACUGGAGGUAGUGUUGAUAGUGACCUAUACCCUGCCCACCCCAAAAAGAUGAAAGAGUUGUUCAAAAGGAUUUUCUUGAUAGUAAUUUUUUAAUUCCUUUUUCUCUUUUGUUUUACUGUUUGU
rnacentral:lncRNA from 1 species